rnacentral:rRNA from 2 species
UACGGAGGGUGCAAGCGUUAAUCGGAAUUACUGGGCGUAAAGGGUGCGUAGGUGGUUAAUUAAGUUAUCUGUGAAAUCCCUGGGCUCAACCUGGGCAGGUCAGAUAAUACUGAUUGACUCGAGUAUAGGAGAGGGUAGUGGAAUUUCCGGUGUAGCGGUGAAAUGCGUAGAGAUCGGAAGGAACACCAGUGGCGAAGGCGGCUACCUGGCCUAAUACUGACACUGAGGCACGAAAGCGUGGGGAGCAAACAGG